GAAGAACUUAAAAAAAAAACCUCAAAGUUGUUUGACUUUUGCCACCGGUUGUAGCUGCUUGUCAUCUUCUACUGAUCUCUUUACUCUUUGCCUCUGCACCGUGAGAGAUAGGGCUCGGAGAGUGAAAGGAUGGAAGAGGAUCAAUUGGACUAUGUUCUGGUACCUUUGGGUCUAUUGUUGAUGGGAUUAUACCAUAUCUGGCUUAUCUUUACCAUCCUCCACUUUCCCAAUCGAACCGUCAUUGGCAUCAAUGCUGAGUCUCGCCACCAUUGGGUCUUCUCCGUGAUGACUGACCCCGUAAAGAAUGGUGUUUUGGCAGUUCAAACAAUUCGCAACAACAUAAUGGCAUCUACAUUGUUAGCUACAACAGCAAUUACUCUCAGUUCACUAAUCAGUGUUUAUGUCAGUAGCACAUCAAAGUCUAGCAAUGCAACUUCACAGCUGGUUUAUGGCAAUAAGACGUCUAUGAUCUCUUCAAUCAAGUACUUUUGUAUCUUGCUUUGUUUCCUUCUUGCAUUCCUUUUCAACGUGCAGUCUAUUAGAUACUAUGCCCAUGUUAGCUUCUUGGCUACCACACCUACUUGGAGUAAUGAUAAAGAGUCUAUUGAGUACGUCGUGAGAAAUCUGAAUCGCGGAAGCCUCUUUUGGUCCCUUGGAUUGCGAGCAUUCUACCUUUCAUUCCCUCUGUUCCUCUGGAUAUUUGGUCCCAUACCCAUGUUUUCUUGUUGUUGCAUACUGUCAUUUCUUCUAUAUUUCUUGGACACCACUAGCAGUUUUACACGGCAUCUUCACUGUCAUUCACUCAAACAAGUUACCAAGAGCAACAACAUGGAUUCAGUUGUUUAAUCAUUAGUUGCUGCCUGAUGGCAAAUCUAGACUGGUUACUAAGCUGCUGCUUUGAAGUUAAUUGCUUGUUCUCCUGUCUCAUCAGUGUAGUAAUGCAGAAGAAACAUUGUAGGCGAAAUUGAAGUGUGUUCGAGGUCAUCUCUUCAAGCCUGAUCUAUUGCAUUCCGGCGAUCAAUUGUCUACAUGUACUCCACCACGCAACUCCUCAUGUGCCAAUCUGCUAGUAUGAAGCAAAACCAUAGCGAAAAUCUUGGUGUGUGAUCCUCACACAGCUUGUCUCGUGCAUGCCUUUCACGCACUGUCUUGUCAAAAUGCAUAUGAAGGCUACACAUGUUGUACCAAUAGUUUCACUAGCCCCAAGAGUUUUUAGAUAUGAACCACCCCAUCUCACUUUCACAUGCACAUGGACUCCAUGUGCUGUCACAAUCAUACCUGGAGAAACUCGGCUAGCAGCGGUUUGGGCCAUUCAAUGCCGGUCAUCCUACUAUGUUUCCGCUUUCCUUAAUCGAAGAUCUUGAGGCAGGGGAGACCAGUCUCUUUUGUGAAUAUUUCAGGACAACAAACUGUAAUGCACCACCAAUAUCCACCGUUUCCAGCAGUGGCGACAUAGUUUGCAUAGCUAUGCAAACUUAAAAAAAAAAAAAAAAAAAAAACUAUCAUUUAAGAUGUCUCCCUCUUUGCAAGGAAUGGGUAGGGAUCAAGUUUUUUUAAUCUCAAAACUUGAUCUAUUUUUCACUUUUGCACUGUGUUUGUUAUAAUGGAGUAUUUGUUGGGACAACCCACCUCCUCCUCCUCCUGUCUCUCGAUUUCUAUAUGUUAAUGAAAUGUUGUUUGAUUAGGAAAAAGACAUUACUAUA